UUUCCGUAGGUGAACCUGCGGAAGGAUCAUUACUGAGUUGUGAAUGAAGUUGUUCUGGUCUUUCGGGGCAAGUGAACGCUUCUCUCAAUCCAUCUUACACCUGUGCACCUAUCGGGGAAGACUUGGAUCUAAGUUGGGUCACGACGGCGAUCUACAGUCUCCUCUUUAUACCAAAUAACAGUUUUAGAAAGUCUUUUUUGCUUGAUGCAAACUUAAAUAAAUACAACUUUCAGCAACGGAUCUCUUGGCUCUC
rnacentral:misc_RNA from 1 species